GCGCCAGUAGCUCAGCUGGAUAGAGUGUUUGACUACGAAUCAAAAGGUCGGGGGUUCGAAUCCCUUCUGGCGUGCCA
rnacentral:tRNA from 1 species